rfam:Schistosoma rodhaini strain Burundi genome assembly, scaffold: SROB_scaffold0000423
AUCCAGCUGAGGAAUCCCAAAUACGACUAAACCCGCGUCAAACUGGAU